rnacentral:rRNA from 1 species
UCCUACGGGGCGCAGCAGUGGGGAAUAUUGGGCAAUGGGCGCAAGCCUGACCCAGCAACGCCGCGUGAAGGAAGAAGGCUUUCGGGUUGUAAACUUCUUUUCUUGGGGACGAAGAAAGUGACGGUACCCAAGGAAUAAGCCACGGCUAACUACGUGCCAGCAGCCGCGGUAAUACGUAGGGGGCAAGCGUUAUCCGGAUUUACUGGGUGUAAAGGGAGCGUAGGUGGCAUGGUAAGCCAGAAGUGAAAACCCG